rnacentral:rRNA from 1 species
CGGGUGAGUAAUGUAUGGGGAUCUGCCUGAUGGCGGGGGAUAACUACUGGAAACGGUAGCUAAUACCGCAUAAUGUCUGCGGACCAAAGAGGGGACCUUCGGGCCUCUUGCCAUCGGAUGUGCCCAGAUGGGAUUAGCUAGUAGGUGGGGUAACGGCUCACCUAGGCGACGAUCCCUAGCUGGUCUGAGAGGAUGACCAGCCACACUGGAACUGAGACACGGUCCAG